AUGGCAGGCCCAAGGAUCCUUCAUUUGCGAGGAUUGCAUCAGGGCGACCCACUGUCCCCCUUCCUUUUCAUCCUAGCUAUUGACCCGCUUCAUCGCCUCAUCGCCGCGGCUGUGGAUCAGCAGCUUCUGCACCGCCUCCCUGGACGUGACCUUGCGCUACGGGUGAGCCUUUACACUGACAAUGUAGUCAUCUUCUUAAACCCUAGCCGCGACGAGGUCGACUCCCUGCUACGCAUCCUAGGUGACUUCGGAAAAGCGACCGGUCUAUGUAUCAACCCAGCCAAGUCUACGGUCUCCCUCAUCCGCUAUGAGAACAUAAACAUGGAGGAGGUGUUGCAGGGUUUUCAGGGCUCGAUCGCCCCCUUCCCCAUCAGAUACCUUGGCCUCCCGGUCACCACGGGCCGGCUACGCCUCGUCCACCUCCAGUUCAUCAUCGACAGAAUCAAGGCAAGGCUGGCGGGAUGGAAGGGCAAACUACUGCCGAUGGCGGGACGCCGAGCGCUCGUCGAUGCGUCUUGA
rnacentral:rRNA from 1 species